CUACGGGGGGCACCAGUGGGGAAUAUUGCACAAUGGGCGCAAGCCUGAUGCAGCCAUGCCGCGUGUAUGAAGAAGGCCUUCGGGUUGUAAAGUACUUUCAGCGGGGAGGAAGGGAGUAAAGUUAAUACCUUUGCUCAUUGACGUUACCCGCAGAAGGAGCACCGGCUAACUCCGUGCCAGCAGCCGCGGUAAUACGGAGGGUGCAAGCGUUAAUCGGAAUUACUGGGCGUAAAGCGCACGCAGGCGGUUUGUUAAGUCAGAUGUGAAAUCCCCGGGCUCAACCUGGGAACUGCAUCUGAUACUGGCAAGCUUGAGUCUCGUAGAGGGGGGUAGAAUUCCAGGUGUAGCGGUGAGAUGCGUAGAGAUCUGGAGGAAUACCGGUGGCGAAGGCGGCCCCCUGGACGAAGACUGACGCUCAGGUGCGAAAGCGUGGGGAGCAAACAGGAUUAGAUACCCCAGUAGUC
rnacentral:rRNA from 1 species